rnacentral:tRNA from 1 species
GCGGCCGUGGCGAAAUUGGUAGACGCGCAGCGUUGAGGUCGCUGUGAGGCAACUCUUGGAAGUUCAAAUCUUCUCGGCCGCACCA